rnacentral:rRNA from 1 species
UAAAGAAUUUCGGUAUGGGAUGGGGAUGCGUUCCAUUAGUUAGUUGGCGGGGUAACGGCCCACCAAGACAACGAUGGAUAGGGGUUCUGAGAGGAAGGUCCCCCACAUUGGAACUGAGACACGGUCCAAACUCCUACGGGAGGCAGCAGUGAGGAAUAUUGGUCAAUGGACGAGAGUCUGAACCAGCCAAGUAGCGUGAAGGAUGACUGCCCUAUGGGUUGUAAACUUCUUUUAUAUGGGAAUAAAAUGUUCCACGUGUGGGAUUUUGUAUGUACCAUAUGAAUAAGGAUCGGCUAACUCCGUGCCAGCAGCCGCGGUAAUACGGAGGAUCCGAGCGUUAUCCGGAUUUAUUGGGUUUAAAGGGAGCGUAGGUGGAUUGUUAAGUCAGUUGUGAAAGUUUGCGGCUCAACCGUAAAAUUGCAGUUGAAACUGGCAGUCUUGAGUACAGUAGAGGUGGGCGGAAUUCGUGGUGUAGCGGUGAAAUGCUUAGAUAUCACGAAGAACUCCGAUUGCGAAGGCAGCUCACUGGACUGCAACUGACACUGAGGCUCGAAAGUGUGGGUAUCAAACAGGAUUAGAUACCCUGGUAGUCCACACAGUAAACGAUGAAUACUCGCUGUUUGCGAUAU